GCCAGGUGUUGUGGCAAGCAUCUGUAGUCCCAGCUACUUGGGAGGCUGAGGUGGGAGGACUGCUUGAGCUCAGGAGUUCAAGGCUGCAGUGAGCUAUGAUUGCACCACUGCACUCUAGCCUGGACAACACAGCAAGACCCCAUCUCAA
ensembl:misc_RNA Metazoa_SRP Metazoan signal recognition particle RNA